CGCCCCGGGCGGGGCGGGGGCACGGGGGGAACGCGAAGAACCCUUACCAGGUCUUGACAUCCUCUGAAAACCCUAGAGAUAGGGCUUCUCCUUCGGGAGCAGAGUGACAGGUGGUGCAUGGUUGUCGUCAGCUCGUGUCGUGAGAUGUUGGGUUAAGUCCCGCAACGAGCGCAACCCUUGAUCUUAGUUGCCAUCAUUAAGUUGGGCACUCUAAGGUGACUGCCGGUGACAAACCGGAGGAAGGUGGGGAUGACGUCAAAUCAUCAUGCCCCUUAUGACCUGGGCUACACACGUGCUACAAUGGACGGUACAAAGAGCUGCAAGACCGCGAGGUGGAGCUAAUCUCAUAAAACCGUUCUCAGUUCGGAUUGUAGGCUGCAACUCGCCUACAUGAAGCUGGAAUCGCUAGUAAUCGCGGAUCAGCAUGCCGCGGUGAAU
rnacentral:rRNA from 1 species